UUGAGAUCAUAAUUGUUCUUUUUGAUCCAUCUCUUACUGUUUUCUUUUUUCUGUUGAUCCAAGUUUUCAUUGUCAGGGAAGCAUCCAUAUCACAAGUCCUGUUUUAAAGAGUUGACUCACCCAAAAUGUGAAGUUUGCUUCCAAUUUAUUCCUAUAAAUUCUGCUGGUUUGAUUGAGUAUAGGUGCCACCCAUUUUGGUCCCAAAAGUAUUGUCCAUCUCAUGAAUAUGAUAACACAGCUCGUUGCUGUAGUUGUGAAAGACUGGAGCCACGGAACAUAAAAUACUAUAGACUAGAAGAUGGACGGAGUUUGUGUUUAGAGUGCAUGGAAUCUGCUAUAACAGAUACUGGUGAUUGCCAGCCCCUUUACCAUUCCAUCAGAGAUUACUAUGAAGGAAUGCAGAUGAGAAUAGAUCAGCAAAUUCCCAUGCUUCUCGUUGAAAGAGAAGCACUUAAUGAAGCUAUUGAAGGGGAAAAGAAUGUAUGGAAAACUCCCUUCUUU